AAUUUUGUUUUUGUUUAGAUAGCAUUUUCCUAAAUGCUGAAUUUCCUAAAUCUAAAUAGUUUGUUUGGCAAGUGUGGUGGCUCACGCCUGUAAUCCCAACACUUUGGGAGGCCGAGGCAGGCAUAUCACCUGAGGUCAGGAGUUCAAGACCAGCCUGGCCAACAUGGUGAAACCACGUCUCUAUUAAAAAUACAAAAAUUAGCUGAGUGUGGUGGUGCAUGCAUGUAAUCCCUGCUACUUGGGAGGCUGAGGCAGGAGAAUCACUUGAACCCAGGAGGUAGAGGUGGCAGUGAGCUGAGAUCACACCACUGCACUCCAGCCUGGGUGACAAAAAAAAGACUCUGUCUCAAAAAAAAAAGAAAAAAAAAAGUUUGUUUGCAUCCCUCCCUUUCUCGAUAGUUUUUUCCCCUGUGAUUAUUAUUACAAAAUGAACUAUUCAUAGUUAUAGCCUGGUAGUAAUUCAUUUCUGCUGCACCACAGAUUUCUUACUUUCUACCUGGGAAUUUCUGCUGCUUCUGCAUGGGUAGCUUGCAGGUAGGUCUUCAGACAUGAUGGCUCUCACAUACACCUGGAAUUGCAUAGGGCUAACACCUCCAUGACAACUCUUGGGCAGUAGCUGAAAAGACCCAGCAGUUUUUUACUAAGUCUUCAACACCUUAAAUAAAAAAUUCUGAGGUAUAUUUUACACAAUUCCUAAUAUCAUUCCACUGUGAUAACCAGCACAAAUAAGCAAUUUCAAAUUGACAUUCUUUUCUUUUUUUGUUGGAAUCAACUCAGUCCCUCUACUUCAAUUCUCUGGAUAUCUUCCCAGAACAAUUUACCUAUAUAUGACCAGUUGUCUAAGAAUUAUCUUGUUAAGGUGGCCAUAUAGGGGAGGCAAGUUCACACAGUUUGUUAUUAAUGAGAAUUAUCAUGCUAAACCUUACCUGCAAUGCCUAUGCCUCAUAAGCAGAAAUGAGAAGAUGUAA
rnacentral:lncRNA from 1 species